UACGGAGGGUGCAAGCGUUAAUCGGAAUGACUGGGCGUAAAGCGCACGCAGGCGGUCUGUUAAGUUGGAUGUGAAAUCCCCGGGCUUAACCUGGGAACUGCAUUCAAAACUGACAGGCUGGAGUCUCGUAGAGGGGGGUAGAAUUCCAGGUGUAGCGGUGAAAUGCGUAGAGAUCUGGAGGAAUACCGGUGGCGAAGGCGGCCCCCUGGACGAAGACUGACGCUCAGGUGCGAAAGCGUGGGGAGCAAACAGG
rnacentral:rRNA from 1 species